UCCAAUUUUGAUCAAGAGAGUCACUCACCGUUUGAUCUUAGAUCCGACAUCUCAAAGUAUUUUAUUUUAGUUUUUUUUAUACAAAUUGUAUGAAUAUGAAAUUUGAUACAUGUCAUCUUCUCAUUGGGGCGCACCUAUAAAAAAAUAUUAAAAAUAAUUUUGCAAUAAAAUAUAAUGACUAAAAUACCACUUAAAAUGUUAAGGGUAUUUUGGUCAUUUUAUAUUCUUAGAAAUAUUUUGUUUUAUAUUUUUCACUAGUGCGAGUUUAAUAGAGGAUUAGACGUGCACAAAAUGCUGCUAAAAUAGCUUGUAUAAAAAAAUUAAAAAUAAAAUAAUGUAUAGACAUGUCAUUGUGAUU
rnacentral:lncRNA from 1 species